rnacentral:sRNA from 1 species
GAUGAUAAGCUCAAUAGGUUGCCGCGC